CCUACGAGAGGCAGCAGUGAGGAAUAUUGGUCAAUGGGCUUACGCCUGAACCAGCCAAGUCGCGUGAGUGAAGACUGCCCUAUGGGUUGUAAACCUCUUUUGUCAGGGAGCAAUUGGCGCUACGUGUAACGUUAUCGCGAUUACCUGAAGAAAAAGCAUCGGCUAACUCCGUGCCAGCAGCCGCGGUAAUACGGAGGAUGCGAGCGUUAUCCGGAUUUAUUGGGUUUAACGGGUGCGUAGGCGGAAUGCCAAGUCAGCGGUAAAAUGGCGGGGCUCAACCUCGCCCCGCCGUUGAAACUGGAGUACUGGAGUGGGCGAGAAGUAUGCGGAAGGCGUGGUGUAGCGGUGAAAUGCAUAGAUAUAACGCAGAACUCCGAUUGCGAAGGCAGCAUACCGGCGCGCAACUGACGCUGAAGCACGAAAGCGUGGGUAUCGAACAGGAUUAGAUACCCUGGUAGUC
rnacentral:rRNA from 1 species